rnacentral:rRNA from 1 species
GUGAACGGUAAAGGACAGGAAAACCACCAGGGUGGAUUG